AUGCAUCGUAAAAUUUCCCAGGAAAAAAUGUCAGCAGAAGGCAGUUCGUCAUCCCCAUGCGCCCCAUGGCUGAUUUGCUUGGAAAAUACACCGCCACCGCGCUCCCCAGCCAGCAAGGCUCCUCCUCGUUGGACUGAAUGUCCUCCCAGCACCUCCAUUGAUGACUCUCACCGGAGCUCGCGUAGACAAAGCUCCUCCUCAAGGAAACUCGCUUGCAGCAGGUUGCAAUCUCCCAUCAUUGAAGCACACCACGUCGCGGGUCCAGCAUACAGGGCCACCGGCUGCCAGUGCUCGUGCUUGCAGCCUCGCCAGGUAAGAGCUCCGAUGUACAUGGCUUGCAGCUCGCUUUUGCAAUACAUGGUUGUAGCAAAAAUUCUUCGUCGAUCCCUGUCCUCUGGCAAUAAGCUACUAGCGGCGAGAUAA
rnacentral:rRNA from 1 species